AUUGAACGCUGGCGGCAUGCCUUACACAUGCAAGUCGAACGGCAGCACGGGUGCUUGCACCUGGUGGCGAGUGGCGAACGGGUGAGUAAUACAUCGGAACAUGUCCCGUAGUGGGGGAUAGCCCGGCGAAAGCCGGAUUAAUACCGCAUACGAUCUACGGAUGAAAGCGGGGGACCUUCGGGCCUCGCGCUAUAGGGUUGGCCGAUGGCUGAUUAGCUAGUUGGUGGGGUAAAGGCCUACCAAGGCGACGAUCAGUAGCUGGUCUGAGAGGACGACCAGCCACACUGGGACUGAGACACGGCCCAGACUCCUACGGGAGGCAGCAGUGGGGAAUGUUGGACAAUGGGCGAAAGCCUGAUCCAGCAAUGCCGCGUGUGUGAAGAAGGCCUUCGGGUUGUAAAGCACUUUUGUCCGGAAAGAAAUCCUUGGCCCUAAUACGGUCGGGGGAUGACGGUACCGGAAGAAUAAGCACCGGCUAACUACGUG
rnacentral:rRNA from 1 species